rnacentral:rRNA from 1 species
GAUGAACGCUGGCGGCGUGCCUAACACAUGCAAGUCGAGCGAACAGACGAGGAGUUUGCUCCUUUGACGUUAGCGGCGGACGGGUGUGUAACACGUGGAUCACCCACUUAUAUGUCUGGGAUAAUUACGUGAAACCGGAGAUAAUACUGGAUAAUAUAUUGAACCGCAUGGUUCAAUAGAGAAUGACGGCUUUGCUGUCUCUUAUAGCCGCUUCCGCGCCGCAUUAGCUAGUUGGUAAGGUAACGGCUUACCAAGGCAACGAUGCGUAGCCGACCUGAGAGGGUGAUCGGCCACACUGGAACUGAGACACGGUCCAGACUCCUACGGGAGGCAGCAGUAGGGAAUCUGCCGCAAUGGGCGAAAGCCUGACAGAGCAACACCGCGUGAGUGAUGAAGGUCUUCGGAUCGUAAAGCUCUGUUAUUAGGAAAGAACAAAUGUGGAAGAAACUAUAGACGUCUUGACGGUACCUAAUCAGGAAGCCACGGCUAACUACGUG